rnacentral:lncRNA from 1 species
AUCGAAGGUAAUGGACUUCUGCAUUAGUGGCAAUACAGUGAUCCUGAACACCUAGGAGGAAUUUAUGAGAAAAACCACUAUCCACACCCAGAGGAAACAGUGUGGGAGUAAAAAUACCAAAGAAAAACAACUGCUUGAAUACAUGGGUCUUAGGGAUAUGGUUGGGGAUGUAGACUCUAAAUGAACAUCCUAGUGUAAACAACAUGAAAAAUGGGUUCUGAUCAAGGACACAUGUAAUACCCAAUGAAAGUGUGUGUUGGUUGUGGGAAGAGUGGGAGGAGGGGAGAGAGGGAAAUAAUGUGAUUAUUAUAACCAAGGAAUAAUGUUCUAAAUUGACUAAACUCCUUCAAAUGAAAAAAUAAGGAAACUGAGUCUGAAAGAGUUUAAUAAGGAAGAGAAGCAGAGGCAUAGGUGAGAGAAUAGCAAUAAACCAGGGAUGAGGGGAUCCCUGGUGACAAAGAGGACACUGGAUUCUCUCUGUGGUCAAGGAGAGAUGGCAGUGAGAGGGGUAAAUUCACUCAGUUACCCAACUUCCUCUUAGGAGAGUACAGUGUCAAGGGUGACAAGCCUCACCUGGCUAAGAGUGAGGUUUGUUUGGGCCCAAUUGUCAUAGCAACAAGGGAAUGUUUGGUAACAGAGCCAGUGACUUCACAGAAGCUGGAUUUAAUUCCACAUUUCUGAAGCUCAGGGAAGAGCAGAGCCAGCCAGGGGAGAAUGUGGAGGCAGAAGAAGACAAUAGUUGCCUUGGAAGAGCUGUGACUACUAGAAAAGUACUGUCCUGGCUAGCUGAUGGCUGUCCUUGCAGGAGCUUGGCCUCUGGCCAAGCUCCAUCUUUAAUCUUUCUCUAUUCACCUCUCUGACCUGUGUGGUAUGGAUCUCUGGACUGGAAAAGCCUACAGAAUGGUACUUUGAUCAGAGCUUAGCUGUGGCUCAUUGAUAAUUAAUAAAGACUCAUUCUGACCACCUCA